rnacentral:rRNA from 1 species
GUCGACGGUUCCGAUUUAUCGGAAUAGUGGCGAACGGGUGAGUAACGCGUAAGUAACCUACCCCUAAGUAGAGGAUAACUCCGAGAAAUUGGAGCUAAUACUGUAUGUGGUAAUGGAGGUAAUGCUUCAUUACUAAAGCCUUAGGGCGCUUGGGGAGGGGCUUGCGUCCGAUUAGCUAGUUGGUAGGGUAAUGGCUUACCAAGGCGGUGAUCGGUAGCUGGUUUGAGAGGACGGUCAGCCACACUGGGACUGAGACACGGCCCAGACUCCUACGGGAGGCAGCAGCAAGGAAUAUUGUGCGAUGGGCGAAAGCCUGACACAGCGACGCCGCGUGGGGGAUGAAGGCCUUCGGGUUGUAAACCCCUUUUCUCAGGGAAGAAUAAUGACGGUACCUGAGGAAUAAGUCUCGGCUAACUACGUGCCAGCAGCCGCGGUAAGACGUAGGAGGCUAGCGUUAUCCGGAUUUACUGGGCGUAAAGAGGGCGUAGGCGGUCUGGCAAGUCGGAUGUAAAAUCUCUCGGCUUAACCGGGAGGGAUCAUUCGAUACUGUUGGGCUAGAGGGCAGCAGAGGGAGGUGGAAUUCCCGGUGGAGUGGUGAAAUGCGUAGAUAUCGGGAGGAACACCAGUGGCGAAGGCGGCCUCCUGGGCUGUUACUGACGCUGAGGCCCGAAAGCGUGGGGAGCGAACAGGAUUAGAUACCCUGGUAGUCCACGCUGUAAACUAUGGACACUAGGUAUGGGGAGUACCGACCCUUU